GUGCUCGCUUCAGCAGCACAUAUACUAAAAUUGGAAUGAUACAGAAUAUUAGCAUGGCCCCUCUGCAAGGAUGACAUGCAAAUUCGUGAAACAUUCCAUAUUUUU